rnacentral:lncRNA from 1 species
AAUUUUUGAAUUCAUUAUUCUCAAAUAUCAAAUGCAUAAAGGAAAAUAUAUUCUUUAAGCCAUGGUAUAAAACAGUGCUUCAAUUAAAUGUUUCUUAGAGCUUAGAAAAAAUUUCAGUUGUCCUCAUCUUUAUCCAGAAUUGCCCUGGAAGUACAGAAUGAAGAGCUGAGGAGACUGGCUUCUCAUGGCAGCAAGCUCCUUGAGGACAGGCUCAGGCACAGACCUGUGUGUGUAACACCCUGACUUCUCUCAGAGUACCACACACAACGUUUUGUACCAGCGUAUGUUUAAAGUAUUACCAUUAUGUAAGAACAAUGGAAUGGGAUUAUAUUGCACAAGUCAUUUUGAUUUCUCCUCUAAAAAGAAGUAGGGCUUUAACAGAUCAAGCAAGGAUCUGAUUUUCUUUCAGGAAUUAUC